rnacentral:misc_RNA from 1 species
UGUGUACUAGCCGGAGGCGACACCAUUUGUCCAAAGCAGGCAGCGAAGCUAGUCCCCCGGGCUCAAUCUCAGCCGCACCAACACCACGGACAGCCGCCCAUAUCGAUUUGGAAUUGGAUAAUAGUUGCUAUUCUAUUGUUUAUCUGCAUUCAAGAACGAAGAAUGUUGGGAGCAUCAAAGUGGUUUAGGUUUAGUACGCGGGAGCUAAUCUUACGCAAUGGCUCUUGCAAGAAACCAGUUCUCUUAGCCCAGAACAAUAUUCUUCUGCGUGGGAGCAUAAGCAGCAGCAGUAGUGUUAUCAGUGGUUCCUACUCUGCGUACCUUCCAUGGAAGAAUCUCAGAAGCAGAACAAGCUCCGCUGGACCUCUCAAUCUCAAAAAUUUCCUAUCCGAUUCUGGGUUUUCAUCUGCCCCUUCCAGGCCACCGAGUGCAAUGCUGAAUGGGCGCGUAUUGUUCUCGACCUCCGCUCCUAGUAAUCCUAAUGCUAAUCAGAACCAUGGAGCUAAAUCAUCGAUUGCUACUACCAAAUCAGAAGAGAAACAUGUUGCAGACAUGAAAAUUCUUCGUACCCUUGCUAGUUACUUGUGGAUGAAAGAUAACUUCGAAUUUCGCUUAAGGGUCAUCACUGCUCUUGCCUUUCUAGUGGGUGCCAAGGUCUUGAAUGUUCAGGUCCCUUUCCUGUUUAAGCUCGCUGUUGAUUGGUUGAGCACUGCUACUGGCAAUGCUACUGCCCUUGCUUCCUUCACUACUGCUAAUUCUACUCUCAUUGCUCUCUUUGCAACCCCUGCAUCUGUUCUCAUUGGUUAUGGCAUUGCCCGCUCUGGGGCUUCUGCUUUCAAUGAACUGAGGACUGCCGUGUUCUCUAAGGUUGCUCUGCGAACCAUCCGUCAAGUUUCUAGAAAGGUGUUUUCACAUUUGCAUGACUUGGACCUCCGUUUUCAUCUCAGUCGAGAAACUGGUGGAUUAAAUAGAAUAAUUGAUCGUGGCAGCCGAGCAAUCAAUUUUAUUCUCUCUUCAAUGGUGUUCAAUGUUGUACCAACUGUCUUGGAGAUAUCUAUGGUAUCAGGCAUUUUGGCAUACAAAUUUGGAGCUCCUUUUGCAUGGAUCACUUCACUUUCAGUUGCUGCAUAUGUUGCUUUCACAUUGUCUGUGACACAGUGGCGGACAAAGUUUAGGAAGGCCAUGAAUAAAGCGGACAAUGAUGCCAAUACAAGAGCAAUAGAUUCUCUAAUCAAUUAUGAGACUGUCAAAUAUUUCAACAACGAAGCUUUUGAAGCUGACAAAUAUGACGAGUUCUUAAAGA